UGGGGAAUAUUGGACAAUGGGGGCAACCCUGAUCCAGCCAUGCCGCGUGUGUGAAGAAGGCCUUUUGGUUGUAAAGCACUUUAAGCAGGGAGGAGAGGCUAAUGGUUAAUACCCAUUAGAUUAGACGUUACCUGCAGAAUAAGCACCGGCUAACUCUGUGCCAGCAGCCGCGGUAAUACAGAGGGUGCGAGCGUUAAUCGGAAUUACUGGGCGUAAAGCGAGUGUAGGUGGCUCAUUAAGUCACAUGUGAAAUCCCCGGGCUUAACCUGGGAACUGCAUGUGAUACUGGUGGUGCUAGAAUAUGUGAGAGGGAAGUAGAAUUCCCAGGUGUAGCGGUGAAAUGCGUAGAGAUCUGGAGGAAUACCGAUGGCGAAGGCAGCUUCCUGGCAUAAUAUUGACACUGAGAUUCGAAAGCGUGGGUAGCAAACAGGAUUAGAUACCCUGGUAGUCCACGCCGCAAACGAUGUCUACUAGCCGUUGGGGGUCCUUGAGACUUUAGUGGCGCGUUAAACGCGAUAAGUAGACCGCCUGGGGAGUACGGCCGCAAGGUUAAAACUCAAAUGAAUUGACGGGGUCAUAGCUGUUUCCUG
rnacentral:rRNA from 1 species